CGGGGGAGCAAGCGUUGUUCGGAUUUACUGGGCGUAAAGGGCGCGCAGGCGGCCACCGCAAGUCAGUUGUGAAAUCUCUGGGCUUAACCCAGAAAGGUCAACUGAUACUGCGGGGCUAGAGUGCAGAAGGGGCAACUGGAAUUCUCGGUGUAGCGGUGAAAUGCGUAGAUAUCGAGAGGAACACCUGCGGCGAAGGCGGGUUGCUGGGCUGACACUGACGCUGAGGCGCGAAAGCUAGGGGAGCGAACGGGAUUAGAUACCCCGGUAGUCCUAGCCUUAAACGAUGAAUGCUUGGUGUCUGGGGUUUUAUAGUCCCCGGGUGCCGUCGCUAACGCUUUAAGCAUUCCGCCUGGGGAGUACGGUCGCAAGACUG
rnacentral:rRNA from 1 species